rnacentral:lncRNA from 1 species
CAGGAUAUUACUAUUUAUGAACUUUUUCAGUUAUCUACUAAUUUUCAUUGUUCCAAUAAACAAGUAACAUUAUGUCAUACAGAGAAUUAGUUGUUUUUAACUAAUUGAUGACUGGUUGACAAUAUUGGUUUGAUUUCUGUCACACAUCAGCAUACAUUAACCAUAGGUGUACAUAUGUCCCCUCCUUUGAGUUUCCCUCUCACCUCCCACCCAUUCUCACCACUCUUGGUUAUCAAACACCAAAUACUGUUUUUAAAACUACUUACUCUACCAUGAAACAGUUGUCUAAAGGUCUACUGAAAUGAGAACCAAACUGGGAUUUGCUCAGCUGCUAAAUGAGUGCUGUUAACUGAUCUCACACAUCACCCAGUUUAACUCUUCAAGGUUUCUUGUGAUUUUAUACACCAUUUGUUAACUACUUAUGUGAAGUUUCCAUAGAGCAACAUCCUUGACAUUAAACAGCCACAGAGAUGAAGAACCAAAAGGAAAGCUACUCAGAACCGAGUCUGGUUAAGGACACCAGGAGACAGCAAAUGAGAGAUUCACCAUCAGCUCGAGAGAAGCUCAUUGUUGUGAUCCUGGGAAUCGUACCCAAAUAUCAGAACAGAAUAAGUCCUCUCUGAUAACAAAGCUCCAGAAAGGAAAGGAAUGUAAAAGUAAAUGCUCGUGUUGUGGACAGAAAUGUUACUAUUUUUCGGAUGAAUUGAAGAACUUUGAAGAAA